GGGGAAUCUUGCGCAAUGGCCGAAAGGCUGACGCAGCGACGCCGCGUGAGGGAUGACGGCCUUCGGGUUGUAAACCUCUGUUGCCCGGGACGAACACCCAUUUCGAUGGGGAUGACGGUACCGGGUGAGGAAGCACCGGCUAACUCUGUGCCAGCAGCCGCGGUAAUACAGAGGGUGCGAGCGUUGUCCGGAAUCACUGGGCGUAAAGGGCGCGUAGGCGGUGGCGUAAGCGUGCGGUGAAAGCUCGGGGCUCAACCCCGAGUCGGCCGUGCGAACUGGGCCACUGGAGCAGAUCAGAGGCAGGCGGAAUUCCGGGUGUAGCGGUGGAAUGCGUAGAGAUCCGGAAGAACACCGGUGGCGAAGGCGGCCUGCUGGGAUCUUGCUGACGCUGAGGCGCGACAGCGUGGGGAGCAAA
rnacentral:rRNA from 1 species